CAGCGGCGCUGCCUGCGGGCGCAGCAGCAGCGCUCGGAGCCCCCCGAGGAGCUGCGGCGCCGCGCCCUGGCCGACCCCGAGGUGCAGCAGAUCAUGGGGGACCCGGCCAUGCGCCUCAUCCUGGAGCAGAUGCAGAAGGACCCCCAGGCCCUCAGCGAGCACCUCAAGAACCCCCUGAUAGCCCAGAAGAUCCAGAAGCUGAUGGACGUGGGGCUCAUCGCCAUCCGGUGACCCCCCCAAAAACCCCGGGGACCCCCCUGGGCCCCCCCCGGGGACACCCCCACCCCUCGGGGGGGGUCUGGGGGCGCUACCCCUCCCCCCCCCGCCCCUCCUGUCGGUUUUGGGGCGCUGCCACCCCCAAUAAAGAGCGGAGCAGUGA